rnacentral:tRNA from 1 species
UAGGGUAUAGUUUAAUGGCAAAACGAAGGUCUCCAAAACCUUUGAUGUGGGUUCGAUUCCUACUACCCCUG